rnacentral:rRNA from 1 species
CUACCACAUCCAAGGAAGGCAGCAGGCGCGCAAAUUACCCAUUCCUGGCUCGGGGAGGUAGUGACGAAAAAUAACGAUACGGGACUCUUUUGAGGCCCCGUAAUUGGAAUGAGUACGCAGUAAAUCCUCUAACGAGGACCCACUGGAGAGCAAGUCUGGUGCCAGCAGUCGCGNUAACUCCAGCUCCAGUAGCGUAUAUUAAAGUUGCUGCGGUUAAAAAGCUCGUAGUUGGAUCUCAGUUCUGGUCGGGCGGUCCGUUUCACGACGGUCACCGCCCGUUCCCGGGCAGCGUUGCCGGUUUCCCUCGAUGAUCUUCAUCGGUUGUCUUGGGUUUAUCGGCUGUUUUACUUUGAAAAAAUUAGAGUGCUCAAAGCAGGCAGUGGGAGCCUGAAUAUCGGUGCAUGGAAUAAUGGAAUAGGACCUCGGUUCUAUUUUGUUGGUUUGCGGAUCACGAGGAAAAUGAUUAAGAGGUACAAACGGGGGCAUUGGUAUUGCGGCGCUAGAGGUGAAAUUCUUGGACCGUCGCAAGACUAACGACAGCGAAAGCAUUUGCCAAGGAUGUUUCCAUUAAUCAAGAACGAAAGUCAGAGGUUCGAAGGCGAUCAGAUACCGCCCUAGUUCUGACCAUAAACUAUGCCAGCCAACAAUCAGGCUGCGUUCCUCAAAUGGCGCGCCUGGCAGCCUCCGGGAAACCAAAGCCUUUGGGUUCCGGGGGAAGUAUGGUU